CUCUAAGUGGGUGGUAAAUUCCAUCUAAAGCUAAAUAUUGGCGAGAGACCGAUAGCGAACAAGUACAGUGAUGGAAAGAUGAAAAGAACUUUGAAAAGAGAGUGAAAAAGUACGUGAAAUUGU
rnacentral:rRNA from 1 species